rnacentral:rRNA from 1 species
GACGAACGCUGGCGGCGUGCUUAACACAUGCAAGUCGAACGGAAAGGCCCUGCUUUUGUGGGGUGCUCGAGUGGCGAACGGGUGAGUAACACGUGAGUAACCUGCCCUUGACUUUGGGAUAACUUCAGGAAACUGGGGCUACUACCGGAUAGGAGCUCCUGCUGCAUGGUGGGGGUUGGAAAGUUUCGGCGGUUGGGGAUGGACUCGCGGCUUAGCAGUUUGUUGGUGGGGUAGUGGCUUACCAAGGCUUUGACGGGUAGCCUGCCUGAGAGGGUGACCGGCCACAUUGGGACUGAGAUACGGCCCAGACUCCUACGGGAGGCAGCAGUGGGGAAUAUUGCACAAUGGGCGGAAGCCUGAUGCAGCAACGCCGCGUGCGGGAUGACGGCCUUCGGGUUGUAAACCGCUUUCGCCUGUGACGAAGCGUGAGUGACGGUAAUGGGUAAAGAAGCACCGGCUAACUACGUG